UACGUAGGGGGCAAGCGUUGUCCGGAAUCAUUGGGCGUAAAGCGCGCGUAGGCGGCCCUGUAAGUCCGCUGUGAAAGUCAAAGGCUCAACCUUUGAAAGCCGGUGGAUACUGCAGGGCUAGAGUCCGGAAGAGGCGAGUGGAAUUCCUGGUGUAGCGGUGGAAUGCGCAGAUAUCAGGAGGAACACCAAUAGCGAAGGCAGCUCCGCUGGGACGGUACUGACGCUAAGGCGCGAAAGCGUGGGGAGCGAACGAGGA
rnacentral:rRNA from 1 species